rnacentral:rRNA from 1 species
UACAGAGGUCCCAAGCGUUGUUCGGAUUCAUUGGGCGUAAAGGGUGCGUAGGCGGCGCGGUAAGUCGGGUGUGAAAUCUCGGAGCUUAACUCCAGAACUGCAUUCGAUACUGCCGUGCUUGAGGACUGGAGAGGAGACUGGAAUUUACGGUGUAGCGGUGAAAUGCGUAGAUAUCGUAAGGAAGACCAGUGGCGAAGGCGGCGAUCUGGGUCGAUACUGACGCUGAGGUGCGAAAGCGUGGGGAGCAAACAGG